CAGGAGCGGAACCUUCGCUAUAAAGGUGCAAGAAAGCGAGAGAGGAGACGGAGAGAUGGAGAGCACCAGGGCAACUAAGGCGACGUCCUUCCCAUCUGGGCAUCAACCAAGAACCCUUCCAUAGGAGGAUUGACCGCCAAGCAAUCUAUGAGAGGAGAUCGGAGUAUUCGCCGCCGAUCUAGCCGGAGGAACUUGCCGGAGGCAAGGGAAACAAUUUGUUGGACGAGAGGACGCUGAGCGGGGUUCUGAGCAUCCCAAUUCAUUGAUCGCCAUGAGGGCGGGUGAUUAGUUUGUCUGAGUUUUUCAACAAAGUAGUUGCAGGAUGCAUAGAUAUUGAUGGGUUGGGCGCGGAGUGCGAGUCUCAGAGUUAUUAAUUAGUUAAUUAGUUUUUUUUUUUUUUAUGCCGAUGAGCAUUUGAAGAUCUGGUAAUUGAACCAAUUUGAUUAUUUGGACAUGUUGGAUUUAUCUAUUUGAAUUAAGUGAUUAACUGUGGAAUUAUCAGAUUUUUUUUCAUCUUAGGCCUUGCAUGAUCUUUAGGGCACUGCUCUAGGGCUCAUGCAGCUGGUCGCGUACCGGACCCGGAUACUGGGUUCGGGGCGUGACAUAUAGUAUUGUAUACAGUCACUGUACUGAAUGGUCAUUUCCCAUUGCUUAUGCUUAUGCAACAAAAUUGACUGUUUGGACAACCUAUUAUGAGUCAUUUCUUUUUGUUUUUAAGCCAUUGGACAGCUUUUGCUUGUGACUACCAAUGGUACCACAUGGUGUUGACCCGCUUACUUUGCUCCACCAGGACUGUACUAAAUGAUUUUUGUAUUGUCACUGCCUCAAUUGUGAGCUUGGUGAAAUUCAUCUCCCCUUUCUGUAGUUCUGCUAAUCUUGUAGACUGCACGGUCUAAGUGUGCAUUUGGCAGCAAAAGGUAUUACCUAUGUUCCAGAUCCACUCCCCCUACCCUUCCUUUUUUUGUCAGGUGGAAAUGUCUCAGGUCAGACUCUCCAGGAAGAACCUGAUUUUAUCAUCUUUGUUUGGUACAAUCAGUAAUUCAUAAAAUUAAUUUUAUUUGUAGUUGCAGUAAGAACCUUGUUGAUAGCACUCUACCAUGAUGGUUUGAUCAUGCUUCUCUUAUCUGCAGAUAAAAGGUUAUUCAGACAGAAUGCUGGCAAGAAUGUUUAUCUGCAAUUGGAAAAGUUUUUGAAGAUGAUCAAAGCAUGGAGAGCAAUUUUAUUGUGAUUAAUUUCUAUACUCUAGUACUGGUUAAAAGACGCAAAGCCCUUUUUGCCUUCUCAUUAUGUCAUAUCUUAUAUUAACUUGACAUGCUGAUCUUUUUUGAGAGCUCCAUGUUGUUUGCAAUUUACUAAUAAGUGUGCAGCUUGCAAAUGAUUUCUUACUUGAUGUUUCAUGAAGGCUGGAGUCUUGCAGAGCUUUAUCAAGUUCAAUGCAUUAUUGCUGCAGUGCUGCUCCUUAUGUUGGGUAUCUGCCAACAUAAUACCCCAGGGAGACUGAAACGCGGAUUGAAAGUAUAGUUGAUGGGAGGAGAUAAGGACAAGAUUCUUGAACUAUAAUGAGCAUGGAAUGUUAUGAGUUAGGUUCCACAACCUCAUGCAUGAAGCCAGCUAGAUCAUGACGCAGUGCAUACACCAACAGAAGAUAUUCCUGAACCUAUGAACCUGCAAACCCAGGAUGACGGUGAAUAAUUGAAACACGUUAACAGCCUUAAAUACAAGCUCUGCACAGCAACAAUAUGGAGAAUGUACCAUCCUUUUGAAGCUGCUGCUUCAGAGUUUUGAGGCUCUUUUUACAGUAAUCAGCAGAGGCCAUGCAUGACUUGAUUCCGAUUUGCAGGGUCCGGUCAAGGGAGUAAACGGCCGUCCCUUUGAGAUUUUUCUGCUGAUGCAUAUUUCCUUUUGUUUUAGUGCAUCCUGGAGACAGCAGUAUUUUCUGGUUUCCAAAAUUCUUUUGUGCUUGUAAUGAGGCCGAGCACAUCAACUUCAUUAACCCAAUGAUGGACCCUCCUACUCUGAUUCUUGCAAGGCAAUCACAUCAUAGCCGAUGUGCACAAUUAUGCUGCC